rnacentral:rRNA from 1 species
GAUAGUGGCUCAGACGAACGCUGCAUGCAUGCCUAACACAUGCAAGUCGUACGGCGCGCCAGUGGCAUGGGGGUGAGUAAGGCGACGGUAACCAACCCCAGGACUGGGUAUAGCCGCGGGAAACUGCGGGUAAUCCCCAGCGAUGUCGCGAUGCAUCCCCCUGCGAUCAAAGCUCCGGCGUCGUGGGACGGGCCGUCGUGGUAUUAGGUAGUUGGCGGGGUAACGGCCCACCAAGCCGGCGAUGCCUACCGGGUGCGAGCGUGGCCCGGGCCACUGGGACUGAGACACUGCCCAGACUCCUACGGGAGGCUGCAGUCGAGAAUCUUCGGCAAUGGGCGCAAGCCUGACCGAGCGACGCCGCGUGGAGGACGAAGAGUUUCGGGUUGUAAACUCCUGUCGAGGGAAGAAGGGCCUCACGGCCCUUGACUGAUCCCUGGAGGAAGCACGGGCUAAGUUCGUGCCAGCAGCCGCGGUAAGACGAACCGUGCGAACGUUAUUCGGAAUCACUGGGCUUACGCGUGUAGGCGGGACGGCACGUCGGUCGCUGAAAGCCCGGCUCAACCGCUCAACGGGCGCCGAUACGACCGUCCUGGAGAACGUAGGCCUGGAACUUCCGGUGGAGCGGUGAAAUGCGUUGAGAUCGGAAGGAACGCCCGUGGCGAAAGCGAGGUCCUGGACGUUUUCUGACGCUGAGACGCGAAAGCCAGUAUAGCGAACGGGAUUAGAUACCCCGGUAGUCCUGGCCGUACGCGAUGGGCACUGGGUAGCUCGCCGAUGGGCUCCCUGCCGUAGAACCGUGAAGUGCCCCGCCUGGGGAGUAUGGUCGCAAGGCUGAAACUCAAAGGAAUUGACGGGGGCUCACACAAGCGGUGGAGCAUGUGGCUUAAUUCGAGGCUACGCGCAAGCCCUUAUCCUGGGCUUGACAUGCACGGAUUAGCCGGCGGAAACGUCGGUGAGGCCGCGAGGUACAACGUGCACAGGUGCUGCAUGGCUGUCGUCAGCUCGUUAUUGAGGUUAAGUCCCGUAACGAGCGAAACUACUGUGAUUAGUUGCCAACAGGUCAUGCUGGACUCUCUAAUCAGACCGCCGGCGUGAAGCCGGAGGCGGAUGACGUCAAGUCCUCAUGGCCCUUAUGCCACUGCUGCACACGUGCUACAAUGGGCCGGACAGAGCGACGCUAAGCCGCAAGGCCCCGCCAAUCGCAAACCGGUCCCCAGUUCGGAUUGCGGGCUGCAACCCGCAUGCAUGAAGCCGGAAUCGCUAGUAAUCGCGGAUCAGCACUGCCGCGGUGAAUGUGUUCCUGAGCCUUGUACACACCGCCCGUCAAGCGUGCAAAGCGGUCGGCAUCCGAAGUCGCCGGAGCCUCAACGGCACUCGC